AUUUAUUUAUAUAAUUCAAGUGAAGAAAAGCAGUGUAUCAAAAACCAAAAACUAGUGUCAUCUGUCUCUGCCCCUCAAUGUUUCCACAAAUCCUGACAAAUGGGAGAAGGGAGUUUGAAUUGUUCCUCAAACCUCAUUUACUCUGUCUGAUAUUGGUGGCAGAAACUGUCACUUUUGAUCUUUAUGGCUUAUCGUUGUUGGGAGAUCUAAUUAAUUUUAGUCUCCCUCCUGUCAGUUGUAAAAAUUUAUUCUCUCCUCAAGGUAUUGUAUAUAGGAAGGUUUUGUAAUUAAGAACAGUAAAAUUCUCUAUCAGGCCUAAAAGAUCAUUCAAAAUUUCAAGUCUG
rnacentral:lncRNA from 1 species